GCUCGGGUCGGGCUGGGUAUCGGUCGGCGGGUGAUUAAUUGUCUACAGUUAAGAGUUUCUUCAGAGCCACAAUGCGCUAUUUUUAAUUGCAGAAAGAUUGUUUAAUACAAUCAUAAAACUGUAUGGUCUACAUGCAUGAGCUUGUGUAUCAGUUUGGAAACCAACAGUAAAAAGGCAACUGCAAGCAUUUGGGACACUUCAGGAUUGAGGGACUAACUUCAAAAUGAUUACCCAAACAGACGUGUGAGGCACCUCAAGAACUUUUUUUCUCCAUAAGAUGAGCAAGAAAGCAGCAAACAAAAGAAAUUGAGUAAUCGCAGUCCCACAUCUCCGUAAAUUCAAGAACAAUUAACAGAAAACUCCAAAUGUAUCACAAGACAGUAGACGAUUUGGAAGAUGAACCAAGCAGCAAUUACUGUGAGAAAAAUGAGACACCAAAAAUCUGUGGGGGAAGAAUACCAGCAAGUUGACAUUCCACCCAAGCAGUGAGACAACAUGUUAUUCACAACAGGAGACAAACUAUAUUAGAUCAACUUUAUUAUGUUAUCAAAGUUUGACAAUAAAAUAUUCAAAAUCUA